rnacentral:rRNA from 1 species
AGAGUUUGAUCCUGGCUCAGGAUGAACGCUAGCUACAGGCUUAACACAUGCAAGUCGAGGGGAAACGAUAAUUGGAAGCUUGCUUCCGAUAGGCGUCGACCGGCGCACGGGUGAGGUAACGCGUAUCCAACCUGCCCACCACUUGGGGAUAACCUUGCAAAGUAAGAACUAAAUACCCAAAUGACGUCUCUAGAAGACAUCUGAAAGAGAAUUAAAAGAAUUUAAUCGGUGAUGGAUGGGGAUGGCGUCUGAUUAGCUUGUUGGCGGGGUAACGGCCGACCGAAGGCGACGAUCAGUAGGGGUUCUGGAGAGGAAGGUCCCCCACACUUGGAACUGAGACACGGUCCAAACUCCUACGGGAGGCA